AGAGUUUGAUCCUGGCUCAGGACGAACGCUGGCGGCGUGCCUAACACAUGCAAGUCGAACGGAGUGUUACGCUGAAAUUGAGAUUAGCUUGCUAAAGGAGAUUUCUUGUAGCACUUAGUGGCGGACGGGUGAGUAACGCGUGAGCAACCUGCCUUUCAGAGGGGGACAACAGUUGGAAACGACUGCUAAUACCGCAUAACAUACCAUUUGGGCAUCCAGGAGGUAUCAAAGGAGCAAUCCGCUGAAAGAUGGGCUCGCGUUGGAUUAGAUAGUUGGCGGGGUAACGGCCCACCAAGUCAACGAUCCAUAGCCGGACUGAGAGGUUGAACGGCCACAUUGGGACUGAGACACGGCCCAG
rnacentral:rRNA from 1 species